rnacentral:rRNA from 1 species
AUUGAACGCUGGCGGCGUGCCUUACACAUGCAAGUCGAACGGCAGCACGGGGCAACCUGGUGGCGAGUGGCGAACGGGUGAGUAAUGCAUCGGAGCGUACCUUUCAGUGGGGGAUAACGUAGCGAAAGUUACGCUAAUCCCGCAUAUUCUGUGAGCAGGAAAGCAGGGGAUCGCAAGACCUUGCGCUGAUUGAGCGGCCGAUGUCAGAUUAGCUAGUUGGUGAAGGAAAGGCUCACCAAGGCGACGAUCUGAAGCGGGUCUGAGAGGAUGAUCCGCCACACUGGAACUAAGACACGGUCCAGACUCCUACGGGAGGCAGCAGUGGGGAAUUUUGGACAAUGGGGGCAACCCUGAUCCAGCCAUGCCGCGUGAGUGAAGAAGGCCUUCGGGUUGUAAAGCUCUUUCGGCCGAGAAGAAAUCGCACGGGCUAAUACCCUGUGUGGAUGACGGUACCGGAAUAAGAAGCACCGGCUAACUACGUGCCAGCCGCCGCAGUAACAC